rnacentral:rRNA from 1 species
UACGGGGGGUGCGAGCGUUGUCCGGAAUCACUGGGCGUAAAGGGCGCGUAGGUGGUUUGAUAAGGGUGUGGUGAAAGCCCGGGGCUCAACCCCGGGUCUGCCGUGCCGACUGUCAAACUCGAGGGCUGUAGAGGCAGACGGAAUUCCGGGUGUAGCGGUGGAAUGCGUAGAGAUCCGGAGGAAGACCGGUGGCGAAGGCGGUCUGCUGGGCAGUUCCUGACACUGAGGCACGAAGGCCAGGGGAGCAAACGGGG